CCAUGUGGAUGCCCCCCAGGAGGUCACUCUCCCUGGGGCUCUGUCUGGGUGGCAAAAGGCAGCUCAGGACUCUGGCCCUUGAUGAGCGGUCCAUUCCCACAGUCCUGGAGAGAAAGCGGGGCCUUGAGUCCGCACCUGCAUGUUCCUGCACCUGCUCAGAGUCCUGUGGACAGUGGCAGAGGAGACAAACCAUGUAGAAAACAUCG